rnacentral:lncRNA from 1 species
CGUGAGGUCACGAGGAUCCGAAGGAUCAUCCUGGUACCUGGAAUCUCAAGUCCCAGGCAAGUUGUGCCCUUGAUUCACUUUUGUUACCCAAUAAUGUUCUUUAUUAUCAUUUAUCAAUGCAUAGGUCUAAUUUUGAUGGGACCCAAUAGGUCAUCCUAGUCUGUUUAUCCUUUUACCUUGUUUACCCCUGAUUCACUUGGGUAGUUAUGCUAUUGCUCUAUAUGGUUUUGGGAUUAAUAUUUUAUUACAUCCAUGUUCCAAUUAUUCUGUUAUGUUAUUUAUGUUCAUGAUAAGAUCAUUAUAUUAAUUGGAACAUGGAGCGACCACCCGGGAAAACAGUGCUACCACAAGGGUUUAAUGGGACGCCCUUGGCUGAUUAACUAGGAAAGCUAGUGGAGGUCUUCCUUACCCGAAAGGGGCAAGGGCAGUAGGGGAGUGGUCAGUGUAGGGAGGUCCUUGGGUUGACUUUGCUGCGAUGGCGGUCAGACAAGAACCCUGCAUUGGAGCUUCCUAUAAACUGUAGCGGGAUUUCUGAAGCUAGUGGAACUUUGUAAAGGCCUCGUAGUGUUACCCUGCCUCGCUUCCUUGGUAGAGGUGUAUGGGACUCAUGACCCCUUGGCAGAUGGGUAACACGGCUUGUGGGUAAAGAUGCGCAACCUCUGCAGAGUGUAAAACUAGUAUACUAGCCGUGCUCACGGUCAUGAGCGGCUCGGACCCUCACAUGAUUAAUUUAUGGAACCUAAAUUCAAUUUGUCAUUUGCAUUUGCAGGGGAUUAUUUAUUAAUUUUGUCCUAUUACUUUUAUUAAGGUUUGGUAUUUACUUACACCUAGUAAUUGCUAAUAAAAGUUUGACCAACAUUAAAAGCAAUGCUCAGCUUUAACCAUUUUCUUUGAUAAGCCUUACACUUCAUGAGCUCCCACCUUUGGCGAGUUCAUGCACAUUAUUCCCCACAACUUGUUGAGCGAUGAACGUAUGUGAGCUCACCCUUGCUGUCUCACACCCCCCCCCCACAGGAGAAGAACAGGUGGUUCAAGAGGAGCCAUAACGAGGAGUUCGAUUCGAUCUAGGUGGCGUCUCCCAGUUGACUUUCUGGCGCCAAGGAUGGAUUUUAGAUCCUGCUAUAUUUAUCAUUUAUUUUGUAAGACUUCCGCUAUGUAAUAAGUACUCUGAUUAUUGUGACAUUUAUCUCUAUACACU